rnacentral:lncRNA from 1 species
CCCUUAUUAUUUCUGUAUUCUCGAAUAGGUCCUCAAAUUACAUUUAAGUUAUUAUAAAAGUAACCCACGGAGCAUGAUUGCACCAUGACUUGGUUCUUCUGCGCAAAAACGAAGGAGAUACUAUGCUUUGUUCAUGAGAUGCUGCUGAGAGUUCAGUGGUGCUCUGACAUCAUAACAAUUAUAUUUUCUCCACGUAUUAUAUAUCUUGACAAUUCCAAACUACACAUAUUUGACAUCAUAACAAUUUGUCCCAUUCAUACUAAUCUAAACGGCCAUACAUUAUAACAAUUUGUUGCCGAACAUAAACUAUGCUUUGAGAGAGCACCCAACCAUUGUGACCGGUCUUCGACACGAAAAAAAGACCUCCACCAGGAAAACAAAAGACGAGAGAAGAUAUGGCCAUGGUGCUGAAUCCCUUCAUCUCCAAGCUCCUCAAAACAUUGUUCGACAUGGCCAAGGAGAAGGUGGACUUGGUGUUGGGCGUUCCCGGAGAGAUCCAAAAGCUCCAAGACACUCUCUGCAACAUCCAGUCAGUUCUUUUAGAAAAAUAAAAGGUUUAUGCAGGUAUAACUUGCACCUCACUCACCCUUGCCUUGGCUGCCACAAUACUUGGAGACAGCUACUCUACUCCCACUCUGGGACCAAAGAUGGCCGAUUCCGUCGUCUCCGGGCUGGUCGGUACGUUGAUGGACAUGGCUAAAGAGAAGGUGGACUUGUGGUUGGGAGUCCCCGGGGAGAUCCAAAACCUCCAAAGCACUCUCCGCAACAUCCAGUCUGUCCUUCGCGACGCCGAGAAGCGGCGGAUCGAGGACAAGGCCGUCAACGACUGGCUGAUGGAGCUGAAGGAUGUCAUGUACGACGCCGACGACGUCCUCGACGAGUGGCGGACCGCGGC